AAUUUUGAAGCACCGACAUCUAAAGAAAAUUACACAUAUAUUCACGGUGCCUUGUUUGUGGGUAUUCAAUCAACAAGGUCGAGAAAAUGUUUCGGUUUCUAUUAAAUUCCCAAUACGACUAUGUACAAAGUGGUUAAGACAUGAUGUGCCAAGCCUUUUCUGGCCUAUUUUCCAGAAAAUCAAAAUUCUGUACACCAGAUACAGGGACAUAGUGUCAGAUGUAGCAGAGAUAUUCUCAUAUUGGCCCAAACUCCACCUCCAUCAAGCCGUUCUGUAUUUAGAGGUAUAACAGGGCUGUCAAAACUGGAUGCAACCCCACAUAAGAUGCGAUUAAUAGAAUGUUCGCAAGCUAAAGGCCAUCUGUAAUAGACGAGCUAGUGAUUUGAGGGCCUUGUCCAAUUUAAGUGAUUCCACAGUGGUUCGUAACUUAUUCAGUGAAAUGUCAAGAAUAGCUGUGGAUUUUUUAAUUGCACAAUUUGCGUUGUGGGAAAAGAAGUCCCAAAGGUCAAAGAUGAACAACAAAAGAGAAAGUGACCUUGAA